rnacentral:rRNA from 1 species
GACGAACGCUGGCGGCGCGCCUAACACAUGCAAGUCGAACGAGAGAUGAGGAGCUUGCUCUUCAAAUCGAGUGGCGAACGGGUGAGUAACGCGUGAGGAACCUGCCUCAAAGAGGGGGACAACAGUUGGAAACGACUGCUAAUACCGCAUAAGCCCACAGCUCGGCAUCGAGCAGAGGGAAAAGGAGUGAUCCGCUUUGAGAUGGCCUCGCGUCCGAUUAGCUAGUUGGUGAGGUAAUGGCCCACCAAGGCGACGAUCGGUAGCCGGACUGAGAGGUUGAACGGCCACAUUGGGACUGAGACACGGCCCAGACUCCUACGGGAGGCAGCAGUGGGGAAUAUUGCACAAUGGGGGAAACCCUGAUGCAGCGACGCCGCGUGGAGGAAGAAGGUCUUCGGAUUGUAAACUCCUGUUGUUGAGGAAGAUAAUGACGGUACUCAACAAGGAAGUGACGGCUAACUACGUGCCAGCAGCCGCGGUAAAACGUGGGUCACAAGCGUUGUCCGGAAUUACUGGGUGUAAAGGGAGCGCAGGCGGGAGAACAAGUUGGAAGUGAAAUCCAUGGGCUCAACCCAUGAACUGCUUUCAAAACUGUUUUUCUUGAGUAGUGCAGAGGUAGGCGGAAUUCCCGGUGUAGCGGUGGAAUGCGUAGAUAUCGGGAGGAACACCAGUGGCGAAGGCGGCCUACUGGGGCACCAACUGACGCUGAGGCUCGAAAGUGUGGGUAGCAAACAGGAUUAGAUACCCUGGUAGUCCACACCGUAAACGAUGAUUACUAGGUGUUGGAGGAUUGACCCCUUCAGUGCCGCAGUUAACACAAUAAGUAAUCCACCUGGGGAGUACGACCGCAAGGUUGAAACUCAAAGGAAUUGACGGGGGCCCGCACAAGCAGUGGAGUAUGUGGUUUAAUUCGACGCAACGCGAAGAACCUUACCAAGUCUUGACAUCCCUUGACGAACAUAGAAAUAUGUUUUCUCUUCGGAGCAAGGAGACAGGUGGUGCAUGGUUGUCGUCAGCUCGUGUCGUGAGAUGUUGGGUUAAGUCCCGCAACGAGCGCAACCCUUAUGGUCAGUUACUACGCAAGAGGACUCUGGCCAGACUGCCGUUGACAAAACGGAGGAAGGUGGGGAUGACGUCAAAUCAUCAUGCCCUUUAUGACUUGGGCUACACACGUACUACAAUGGCGUUAAACAAAGAGAAGCAAGACCGCGAGGUGGAGCAAAACUCAGAAACAACGUCCCAGUUCGGACUGCAGGCUGCAACUCGCCUGCACGAAGUCGGAAUUGCUAGUAAUCGUGGAUCAGCAUGCCACGGUGAAUACGUUCCCGGGCCUUGUACACACCGCCCGUCACACCAUGAGAGCCGGGGGGACCCGAAGUCGGUAGUCUAACCGCAAGGAGGACGCCGCCGAAGGUAAAACUGGUGAUUGGGGUG